rnacentral:rRNA from 1 species
GACGAACGCUGGCGGCGUGCCUAAUACAUGCAAGUCGAACGCAGUGGGGACGGGUGAGUAACACGUUGGUAACCUCCCAUCAGAGGGGAUAACACUUGGAAACAGGUGCUAAACCGAUACUUAUUGAUGGACCCGCGGUUCAUUAGCUAGUUGGUGAGGUAACGGCUCACCUAGGCGACGAUCUCUCGCGGGGCUGAGAGGAUGAUCAGCAACACUGGGACUGAGACACGGCCCAGACUCCUACGGGAGGCAGCAGUGGGGAAUAUGGCACAAUGGGCGCAAGCCUGAUGCAGCCAUGCCGCGUGUAUGAAGAAGGCCUUAGGGUUGUAAAGUACUUUCAGCGGGGAGGCGUUACCCGCAGAAGAAGCACCGGCUAACUCCGUGCCAGCAGCCGCGGUAAUUC